GUUCCCAGUGAUGCUUAUUUGAACCAUGCUAAUUCUGAUCAUUUGAUGACUCGGAUUUUCUUCUGAGGGAACC